rnacentral:lncRNA from 1 species
AAGUUACCAUUCAAACUGUGCACGAGGUCCCACAGUGGUUUUACUUAGUAUGCACCUCAUGCUACAAGCAAGUCGACUUGGUUCAAGAUGAGUUCCACUGCCAGAAAUGCCAAAGAUUUGUACCAGAGCCAGAAAAGAAGUAUACUUCGAACUAUUUCAUCAUAUCCAACAAUCUUAUGAACUAAAACUUCUAAUUUUUACAACAAAAUCAAACAGGUUUGGCAUUUGCGUGCUUGCAUCAGACGAAACAGGAAAUAUUGGAAUUCUCCUCAUGGAUCGUCCAAUACGUUUACUCUUUUCAAAAAGGGUUUCAGAUUUCGAAGAAGAGGUAUCACAUACAUUCUAAUAAGCCAACUAUUCUCUAUUAAUUUACUAUCCAUGCUUCUUUAUGUAGUUCAAAGGGAAAUUCCCUACCACAUUUAAAAAACUAGAGAACGCCCAGUCCACAGUCAAGCUAAAGAUUCACAAAGACAACAUUGGCAACAGUGAAGAAUUAUAUCUUGCAACAGAUAUCUACCCAGGAUUUGAAAGGGAAGAAGUUAAUGAAGAUGAAGAAACAACCAUUAGACCAACAGAACAUUCAAUUUCAGAGGUGAUAAGCUAUUUCCCACUUUUAACAUUACUCAUUUUAAUCAUAGGACACCGUAAUGACAUAUAUUUUACUAUAUGACAGCUAUCUACAUCAGCCAGCUAUCACCUAGACAAUAUAUCGCAGCUCAAGGGCAACUGAUGACAAAUUACCAAUGCGGCAAGGGAUAUUGACUUCUCUAAGUAAUUUCACUUGAAACUAUGUUCAACUCAACAAUUCUGUCUUUAUGAUUGUAAUAUAUUUUUAAAUAUAAUUCUCUA